UUAGGGGGUUUCCGCCCCUUAGUGCUGCAGCUAACGCAUUAAGCACUCCGCCUGGGGAGUACGACCGCAAGGUUGAAACUCAAAGGAAUUGACGGGGGCCCGCACAAGCGGUGGAGCAUGUGGUUUAAUUCGAAGCAACGCGAAGAACCUUACCAGGUCUUGACAUCCUUUGACCACUCUGGAGACAGAGCUUUCCCUUCGGGGACAAAGUGACAGGUGGUGCAUGGUUGUCGUCAGCUCGUGUCGUGAGAUGUUGGGUUAAGUCCCGCAACGAGCGCAACCCUUGAUUUUAGUUGCCAGCAUUUAGUUGGGCACUCUAAAGUGACUGCCGGUGCAAGCCGGAGGAAGGUGGGGAUGACGUCAAAUCAUCAUGCCCCUUAUGACCUGGGCUACACACGUGCUACAAUGGAUAGUACAAAGGGUCGCGAAGCCGCGAGGUGGAGCUAAUCCCAUAAAACUAUUCUCAGUUCGGAUUGUAGGCUGCAACUCGCCUACAUGAAGCCGGAAUCGCUAGUAAUCGUGGAUCAGCAUGCCACGGUG
rnacentral:rRNA from 1 species